UUUUGGACAAUGGACGCAAGUCUGAUCCAGCCAUUCCGCGUGCAGGACGAAGGCCUUCGGGUUGUAAACUGCUUUUGUACGGAACGAAAAAGCUCUUAUUAAUACUAGGAGUCCAUGACGGUACCGUAAGAAUAAGCACCGGCUAACUACGUGCCAGCAGCCGCGGUAAUACGUAGGGUGCAAGCGUUAAUCGGAAUUACUGGGCGUAAAGCGUGCGCAGGCGGUUAUAUAAGACAGAUGUGAAAUCCCCGAGCUUAACUUGGGAACUGCAUUUGUGACUGUAUAGCUAGAGUACGGCAGAGGGGGAUGGAAUUCCGCGUGUAGCAGUGAAAUGCGUAGAUAUGCGGAGGAACACCGAUGGCGAAGGCAAUCCCCUGGGCCUGUACUGACGCUCAUGCACGAA
rnacentral:rRNA from 1 species